UAGGGAAUCUUCCACAAUGGACGAAGUACUGAUGGAGCAACGCCGCGUGAGUGAAGAAGGGUUUCGGCUCGUAAAACUCUGUUGUUAAAGAAGAACAUAUCUGAGAGUAACUGUUCAGGUAUUGACGGUAUUUAACCAGAAAGCCACGGCUAACUACGUGCCAC
rnacentral:rRNA from 1 species